GUAGUCUGCAACUCGACUACAUGAAGCUGGAAUCGCUAGUAAUCGCGGAUCAGAAUGCCGCGGUGAAUACGUUCCCGGGUCUUGUACACACCGCCCGUCACACCAUGGGAGUCGGAAAUGCCCGAAGUCGGUGACUUAACCGAAAGGAGAGAGCCGCCGAAGGCAGGUCUGAUAACUGGGGUGAAGUCGUAACAAGGUACC
rnacentral:rRNA from 1 species